CAAUGUAACAUGCCAGCUCCUCGCCUUUUCUCCCGUUACAAUCAGUAUUCUGCUAUACUAAUAUAUAUGUUUAUGCUGCUUCUUAGCUCAAUCACGGGGCUUUCCUUGCUGUAACAAAUAUGGCCAGUUCUUGUCAAGCCAUUUCUCUUUCCCCAAGCUUCUUUCAUUUAGUACUGAGCGAGCCUGGCUGUGGGUAAGGUGCAGAACUGGGAGCCACAUUAAUGUAGAAAGCAGCAUUAAAAUAACACUGAGCUUUGUAUGAAGGAGAAUCAGCCCAGCUGUGACGUGCACAGGGAAUGUGGGGGCACAUGGAGGAGAGAACCCGAUUUACUAACCCACCAGGAUUUAAAGAGAGUCUGUUUGUAAACAUUGUGGACUGGGUGGCAAAACUUACAAGCACCCCUGGGAAAUGAGUAAGAACAGCUCGGUGGCAAAUCAGUGCAAUUUACAGUGUAAAGACACCACUGCUUCCUGUGAUUAGAGCUGGCCGGGCAGAACACCUACCGGCGUUUAUGGCCCCAUUCUCAGUGCUCCCAGCUGGAGGAUCUGGCUGCCAUAAAAUGUCACCAUCAGUCCUUAACCCUGCAGCUGCCGAUAGAACAGGAGGACCUCAAUGAUGGACUUGGAUCAUAUAGACUUUUUUUUUAACCAUUUAUGGUCAACACAUCUGCCAAUCAUCAACACACCCAAUGCUUUCCUUACCUAGAGGUGUCCAUCCCGAGUCCUUGCACUGAAGGGACCUGCGACAAAAAAGGGAAAUAAAGUCUGAGAGCACAUAUAAACAUUGCACAGAACCAUAAGAUGUACACUAUACAUGGAUGACCACCAUUAGAAUUAACUAGCAUUGUUUCAGACUUAAUAGCACAGAAGAGGAUGCUACUGAGAUUCUUAUAGUGUAUUGCAUCCGUAUAUUUUAUUUUAUGUUAUGCAAUUUUAUUUUUUUGUUAUUUAAUUGUAUUUGAUAUACUAGCUGUGCUAACUGUCCACUUUACUCCUAAACUGUCUGUUCAAAUACAACAUUCUGCAUACAACUUUGCUAAUGCACCAGAGGAGCUGUAAAUCUAUGAUAAGAUGAAUAGAAAUUGAAUUUUCUGUACUUAGAUUGCAACUGGAACCUACACUGAAAUGAAUUGCAGCAUUUACAAAUGGAAAUCCUCCAUUAGAAAAGGAAUAGCUGAUUAAAAUUGAUUUUGUUUAACUUAAUAACCGUGUUAUCCCCUUAAGGUUUGCAGUGACCUGUUUAAAGCCACCCCAUCUAGAGCAAUAGUAAGGGCAUGCCAUCUGGGUUUUCAUGUCAUAUUUCCAAGCUAGAAGGACAAAACUAUAAAUGAUAUAUACUUUUUUUUUUUUUUUACAUUGCUUGUGUCUUCAGGAAAAAAAAAAAUCACAAGGGGCUUAUUUGAUGCUUGCAGUAUCUGAAUGCCAAUUAGAAUGGUCGGAUACAAGCUUCCCCAUCUAUUCCAAUUUAGUGUCGCAAGUACUAAUACGGAUCUGUAUUUGUGCCCAAGCUGUUCACACCUGCGCAAAUAUCAUUAACCCAAUCCAAACCAAUGCAGAUCGACUGCCCCA